rnacentral:rRNA from 1 species
GAUGAACGCUGGCGGCGUGCCUAAUACAUGCAAGUCGAGCGAACAGACGAGGAGCUUGCUCCUCUGACGUUAGCGGCGGACGGGUGAGUAACACGUGGAUAACCUACCUAUAAGACUGGGAUAACUUCGGGAAACCGGAGCUAAUACCGGAUAAUAUAUUGAACCGCAUGGUUCAAUAGUGAAAGACGGUUUUGCUGUCACUUAUAGAUGGAUCCGCGCCGCAUUAGCUAGUUGGUAAGGUAACGGCUUACCAAGGCGACGAUGCGUAGCCGACCUGAGAGGGUGAUCGGCCACACUGGAACUGAGACACGGUCCAGACUCCUACGGGAGGCAGCAGUAGGGAAUCUUCCGCAAUGGGCGAAAGCCUGACGGAGCAACGCCGCGUGAGCGAUGAAGGUCUUCGGAUCGUAAAACUCUGUUACUAGGGAAGAACAAAUGUGUAAGUAACUAUGCACGUCUUGACGGUACCUAAUCAGAAAGCCACGGCUAACUACGUG